GCCUAACACAUGCAAGUCGAACGAAGUAGCAAUACUUAGUGGCAGACGGGUGAGUAACAUGUGGGUAUCUGCCCUUUGGCCUGGAAUAACACGAGGAAACUUGUGCUAAUACUGGAUAAGUCUUUACGGAGAAAGCUUUAUGCACCAUUGGAUGAGCCCGCACUUGAUUAGUUUGUUGGUGGGGUAAUGGCCUACCAAGACUUUGAUCAAUAGCUGAUUUGAGAGGAUGAUCAGCCACAUUGGGACUGAGACACGGCCCAAACUCCUACGGGAGGCAGCAGUGGGGAAUCUUGCACAAUGGAGGAAACUCUGAUGCAGCGAUGCCGCGUGAGUGAAGAAGGCCCUUGGGUUGUAAAGCUCUUUCGUCGGGGAAGAAAAUGACUGUACCCGAAUAAGAAGGUCCGGCUAACUUCGUGCCAGCAGCCGCGGUAAUACGAAGGGACCUAGCGUAGUUCGGAAUUACUGGGCUUAAAGAGUUCGUAGGUGGUUGAAAAAGUUGGUGGUGAAAUCCCAGAGCUUAACUCUGGAACUGCCAUCAAAACUUUUCAGCUAGAGUUUGAUAGAGGAAAGCAGAAUUUCUAGUGUAGAGGUGAAAUUCGUAGAUAUUAGAAAGAAUACCAAUUGCGAAGGCAGCUUUCUGGAUCAUUACUGACGCUGAGGAACGAAAGCAUGGGUAGCGAAGAGGAUUAGAUACCCUCGUAGUCCAUGCCGUAAAAGAUGUGUGUUAGACGUU
rnacentral:rRNA from 1 species